UACGAAGGGUGCUAGCGUUGUUCGGAAUCACUGGGCGUAAAGCGCGCGUAGGCGGCCUAACAAGUCAGGGGUGAAAGCCUGGAGCUUAACUCCAGAACUGCCUUUGAAACUGUUAGGCUAGAGUGUCGGAGGGGAUAGCGGAAUUGCUAAUGUAGAGGUGAAAUUCGUAGAUAUUAGCAGGAACACCGGUGGCGAAGGCGGCUAUCUGGACGACAACUGACGCUGAGGCGCGAAAGCGUGGGGAUCAAACAGG
rnacentral:rRNA from 1 species